GAAUUUUGAAGUUAGAGUUCAAUAAUUCCGGCAUCGGCUAAAGGAUAUAGUGUGGUCGUGUGGACCCCAUUUGCAUGCAACAACUUAGUACAAAUGGAGCAAUCAGAGCCAUUGGUUUGGCAUAGGUUCUGAUUGGUUCCUACUUUUGUAGUACAAGUAAUGACGUGGUGUACAUUGGUGGUGAAGCAUGCCUGUCAGAGCAACACAAGGUACGAUUUUGUGGGAGUGGAGGAUCUGAUGUUAAGGUCAUAAGUACCAUUAUUGAGAGUGUAACAUAAAUUUCACGAACUCCACAUACCACAUGUUGCUUUUUUUAGCACUGUUCACGGAAUAAUGUUCACGAUGAGGCUAUGUUUGGGGAUCAGAAACCAUCUUUAUUUUUUAGGUGUCACUGAAUUUGUACCUUCCAUAUGAAUAAAGUUUCUGCCAAAGUGAACUGGAUCUGUAAACACCCAUUACGUGGCCGUUUGGAUAGGCAUCGCAAUUCAUUUCAGAUCACUGUUACUGUGUGCUUCACUAUGUCGUCCACAUAGGAGUGGUGAGGGAUAAGUAUGACAACGGUGUGGGUCGGAGAUGUCUCACUUUAUUCUAAAAUAUUGCAAGUUCUUGUCAGUAAUGAAUUCAAUUAAUGGCUUGAUCAGAAACAUAUUUAUGUUAUUAAUAAAUUAAAGUCGUUUUUUAAUUGUAUAUAAAAAGCAGAUGGUAUUAGAAUUCUAUUAUAGAGUUUCAGUUCUAAAUUUGUUCUUUUCUUGUAUCUACUUUUGCAUUUGUGUUCAUUAGUGGUGAACUGGAGUUUUCAAGAUUUUGCAACGAACAUGGCAAAUCAUUAUUUCUUUCAUUCAAAUCUAUCUCAACUUUUCAAUGAAAGCAAUUAUCGGCUCUUGUUAUGAGUUUUCCUUUGGUCUUAAAUAACAAAAUCAAAUUCAUUGUCAACAGUUGAAUUCAUAUGUGCUUCAUGGUCUGUCUCUCCAGCUGUGGUCUUCCGAGUUCAUAUUCUGCAUCCAAGUUUUAUGUAAACUGAAGAGCACAACUUAUUUAUUGGAUUGGAAGCUGAUAGAAUCAAGAAUCUUUAUCUUUGCGUGCUUUGUACAAUCACAGUUUUCUCUGUAUAACUUUUUUCUAGUUUUUGUAAGACCUUUUAAGGUCAAGCAUAACUAAUUUUUUGUUAAAGGAUUUUCUCAGGUUUAAAUGAUAGGUCUUUAUUGUAUGGAAUAUCUGUUGAACUAUGAGAGGUAGUCUAUUUUUUUAAUUUUUUUUAUCAACAA
rnacentral:lncRNA from 1 species